ensembl:lncRNA
CCUCGCCUGCUUUGUAGUGAAGUCCACGAUCAGCUCCUUAGUCUUGCUGAUGUUUAGGAGGAGGUUAUUCUCCUGGCACCAGGUCUCCAGGUUCCUAAUCUCCUCCAGGUAGGCCGUCUCGAUGUUGUCGGAGAUCAGGCCCACAACAACAGUGUCGUCAGCAAACUUGACAAUGGAGGUGGUGUCUGAUGUGGCUACACAGUCAUAAGUGUACAUGUCCAGGUGACUCAGGGAUGUGUGGAGCAGGUGAGAUAUGGCAUCGUCUGUGGAACGAUUAGUCCGGGACAAUAAUGGACUGUUUGAAGCACGUG